rnacentral:rRNA from 1 species
CCCUAGUGGCGGACGGGUGAGUAACGCGUAGGUAUCUGUCCAUGGGUGGGGGAUAACAGCGGGAAACUGCUGCUAAUACCGCAUGACACCUGAGGGUCAAAGGCGCAAGUCGCCUGUGGAGGAGCCUGCGUCCGAUUAGCUUGUUGGUGGGGUAAUGGCCUACCAAGGCGAUGAUCGGUAGCUGGUCUGAGAGGACGAUCAGCCACACUGGGACUGAGACACGGCCCAGACUCCUACGGGAGGCAGCAGUGGGGAAUAUUGGACAAUGGGCGAAAGCCUGAUCCAGCAAUGCCGCGUGGAUGAAGAAGGUCUUCGGAUUGUAAAGUCCUUUCGGCGGGGACGAUGAUGACGGUACCCGCAGAAGAAGCCCCGGCUAACUUCGUGCCAGCAGCCGCGGUAAUACGAAGGGGGCUAGCGUUGCUCGGAAUGACUGGGCGUAAAGGGCGCGUAGGCGGUUUGAUCAGUUAGGUGUGAAAUUCCUGGGCUUAACCUGGGGGCUGCACUUAAUA